UGGGAGGAAAUGGACUAUGGGUCCCGGCAUGCUGCACUGUCCUGUAGAGGCUGCGCCGGCAGUGCGGCAUGCUGGGGGCUGUAGUGUCAGCUCCAGACCCCCA
ensembl:miRNA